GCAUUCUUAGCUCAGUUGGAUAGAGCAGCAGCCUUCUAAGCUGACGGUCACAGGUUCGACUCCUGUAGAGUGUA
rnacentral:tRNA from 1 species